CUUGAUAAAUUGGCCAAAGAAUCACCUAACACCUUGACAAAUUGUAAAGGAGUAGGUGCAGUAGUGCCAUUAAUUUCCUAUAAAUAACGGGCAAUUCUUCAUUUGAAAUCAUCCCAAAAACUUGAGAGAAUCCCAAAAAUUGAGAGAGAAACAAUUCAAUUGUAGAAUUGUUAAGAGAGUGAGUAAUUAGAGAGUUUGUAAUUGAGAGAUUUUUCCUUUCAAGUAUGUGAGAGUACCGGGUGUAUAUGUGUUAUGGGAAAUGAGGUUUCUUUACUCAAAUAUUGUAUUCUAAUAAUUGUAUUACUAGUAAUAUAAUUAUUUUCUCUUACUCUCGUGGACAUAGAUAUAUUGUCAAACUAUAUUAUAUUUUGUGUCCUUUAUUUUCCGAUAAUUAUUUGGUGCCCUUUAUUCCGCAUUCUGCGCACAACAUAAGUACCGAGCACAUAUUUCAUUCAACUACUUUGAUCUUUUUGUAACCGAGAUUUAUUUGUACUUGCUAUUUGGGAGGCUUGCCCAACUACGUUGAUUUGUAAAUAGCAUUACUUCGUUUAAACGGGUACAAUUAGUUGCAUGUCAAAACAUUAACUAGAAGCACUAUUUGAGAACCCGAAAAAUUUGCAAAUAGAUAUGGUAGUUGAUCUUUCUAUUCUAACAAAGGCAAAUAAGAUAACUUCAGCCAACCUCAUAUGCUUUUGCAUGCUUUGAUGUUUGUAUAUAGCUUAAUAAUUUCUUGUACGUGCAUGCAUUUUGAUUUUAAAUGUCAUUAUUUGUACGUUUUCAUGCAUCAUAUGUGCAUGUGUCUGGCAUUUUGCUGCAGUCUGAACAAAUACAGAAAAUUUAUAGCUGAAAUUUUGUUUGGUCUCUUAGAUGAAAAAUCAAUCAAUGACCUCAAGCUUUUCGUUUUCUCCAAUACUAGCUAUAGAUUCAAGUCAUAAUUAAUUGAAAAAAAAAAAGCUAUAGAUUCAAGUCAAUAUUUAAAUGGAGUUUUUGAUUUUCUUUUAAUUUAAUAAAUAUUAAACGGAAGAAACGACCAAUAUUAAUCCUAAACUCUUCUAUUAUUGGAGAAAUUAAGCAUUUUUCUCUCAUCUUUUAAAACUCCCCUAAUAUUAAUGAUAUUCCACAUUUUCACUAACUAUCAUUCUUUUCUCAUUCAAAAUUACUUAGUGUUAAAGGUAAUUGUUUUUUUUUUUUUUGCAACUAUAUAUUAAAUUGUCUUAAAUAUUUCUUUCUUGAGAAAAAAAAAUGCUUGAGAAAGUGAAUUGGUUUAUUUAACAUUAUAAUGUCAGGGGUGAUUUAAACUUGGUGCAAGAAGGAGGUUUAUUCUAUCAAUUUAUAAGAAUAUUAAAGGAUUUUAACGGAAAGUUCAAUUAAUUUCUGUGAUUUUUUUUUUAUUUGCUUUCAUUUUCAACAAGCAAGAAGGGACCACAAAUUAUUAUGAAUGCAACAAACGAUGCCCAACUAGUGGCUUUUUCGUUUCCUCUUUGAUAAUUACAAUAAAAAAACAAUUGGGAAGUGGCGCAUCCAAUCAGGUGGGUAUAAGUAAUAUCAGAUUCAGAUGCUUUUGUCAUAUGAAAAUUAAUGAUUUUUUUUAUAAAAAAAAAAAACUUAAAAUCAGAUUGCAACUGUUCGUAUACAGCGGUCCCCAAAUUCAUGUCGUCCCUGUCAAUUAAUUAUUUUCAUGAAAAAGAAAAAUCAUGCAGAUCCCAAAACCAACCGAUUUGAUGAAAUUUUUCCAAACCAACCCAGUUCAUUAACUCUCUCAAUUACCACCAAAAUAACCUAAUUUUUUAUUAAUUAUUCACGGACAAGACAAGUACAUUGGACAAAACUAAAGACGUACGAAAGCAGCAUAAGGUACGUUUAAUUUUGGAAGAAUUAUUUCUGCAUAAAAUCAUUUUAAAAAUAUUGCUAUGAUUUAUAUGCACAGUCACCAUGCGAGUACAGAGGUUGUGCGUGAUUUAGUAGGUCAUAUCUUUUAGGCAGAACAUAAAAUUGCUGGCAGUGAAAUUAGGUAGUAAUAAAAAUUUGACCGCGUGGCUACUUGUGUACACUGACAUAGGCUCGCCAAUAAAUAUAUUUGUGACGAAUAAAAGCAUACUUAACCGAAUUUAAAUGGACUACCAACUGCCAUUAACCGAAUCGUCAUAGACUUAUGGUUUUUUUUUUUUUUUUUUGAGGACUUAUGGUAGUUAUAGUAAGAGAAUUCUCAAUAUUGAUGAUUUUUGUACAUCUUAACGAGUUCUAAAAUGUAUGCGAAGGGGACAAAGAUUUAUAAGUGAGGCACGAAUGCUUGCACCCUUUACAGAAAUUUGAGAAUACUAAUAACAAAAAUAUAGGCGGUAAAGGAUAUGUGAUCCGGUUGGCACAUCGGUUUCCUUGCAAUAAUGUGAGAUCAGGUACAUGAACUGGGAAUCAAUUUUUGUCUGUAUCGUUAUCUCUGUAUUUGAAACAUUGAAAAUAUGUUUGUCAACAAAUCUAUCGACUUGCUGUUGUUUUAAUUUUACAAGGCACCUAUUUAGGGUCGGAUUUCUCUAAUAUCAGUAUAUCACUAAGGGGAGCAGUCAAGUGAGUCCACUCUGAAUAUCUACUAGUGCAACUUAAAACCCUAUGACUUUGUCCUAAACAUAUGUUAGCCCAACAUUGAAUAUCACUAAGGGGAAUAGCCAAACAAGUCCGAUUUUAUAUCUACUAAUCCGACCUAGAAGCCCAUUAACUCGACUUGAAAAUAUACUAGCCCGACAUUAAAUUUCUCUGAUGUGAUUAAGGGGAACAAUCAAGUAAGUCCCACCUGAAAAUCUACUAAUUCAAUCUGAAAGCUUAUUAGCUCGACUAAAAAUCUACUAGCUUGACAUGAAAACUUAUUUAUCAGGUCAAAUGUGGCUUAUUUUUUAGGGCAGUUAAAUAUUAUCUUUUAAACCACCCUCAACUGAUAGGGACUACCUGCAACUGCAAAGAGAAUGUGUUGAAAUCAAUAGAAGAACCACCCAUGAGUAGGAGCUUAUUUAAGCUAAAGAGAAAGAGGGAAUCAAAGGAAGAGGUUAGCAAAUUUAUCUAAGGACUCCACAAGAGAUGAACUAUUUGACCAUUCUCCUUUCUACUUUCUACAUGAUCCCCAACAAAAACACCAUGAAUUCCAUUGUAUUUUAUUUUAGUUUUCUCAAAUCGUUUUCCUUUCCAUAUAAAUAAAAAAAAUUAACCUACACAUCUGAGGAUAUAUGCCAAAACCUUCACCUGCAUAUUCUAAUUGUUUUUUGUGUGAAAAUUGAGUUCAGAAUAGUGUUUGAGUUAGGAUUUGUGCUCUUGUCACUUGGAAAGCAAAUUAAGCUAUUGAGAUCAUUUUUCGGCGUUAAUAGCACUGAUUAAUCAUAUUGACUUAUAUCGAUAUGCAUGUCGAACCACUACAUUAUUAAUCACAAUGUUGGUUGAAUGACAACUAAGUUUCAAAUUAUAGACAACCAAUCACUGUUUUCACUAUGUAACUUUGAUGGGUGACUCUAAUUUCCUAUUUAACAAUAAUAGUACUAUCAUACUGAUGAUUGUAAUGAUGUGACUCUAUGAUUUUUCAAUUCAAAGAAAAUUACUAUUUUUGGCAGUUUGGUUGUAUACAAAAACCACUUAUUUCUACACAGAAACCAAGCUGCCAAAAAUAUUAAUUUGCUUAGAAGUAGAAAAUAUUGAGAAUCACAUUAUCGUGAUCUUUAGUAUAGACUUGUAAUCCAUUUUAUGUGAAAUUGCCACCAAAUAAACUUGUAAUCUAUUUAUUUGAAAAUUAUUAUUUUUAGCCGUUUGGUGGUACAUACAAAUCUAUGAUUUUAGAGAUUAAUUUUAUUUUUUUUGGGGGAUAUAUUCAAAUACCACCAAAAAUUUCCCCACA
rnacentral:lncRNA from 1 species